UGCUCUUCUAGAAAGAAGACCAAACAACAACAAACCAACAAACAACAAAUGCCCUUUGUGAAGUCAUCCAGCUUGUCACUUCUUAUAGCACAAUAAUAUUCCAUCACUACUGAGUGGGUGGACUUGAGUCAGUUGAGACUCUGAGGAUGGGGUCUGGAAAGUACCCAUCCCCCAGUCCCUGUUAUUGCUAGACCAUUCUGUCCAUAUUCCAUCCCAUUGCUAGAACACACCUCUCCCCAGCUUGUUCUGUGGUCAAGCAGGAGAGCUGUCUCCUGUUAGUGCAGACCCACCUUGAUACUACCUCUCCCUUCCUGCAUUCCUAAGCCCUAGCUCCUGGUACCAUCUCUCCCUUCUUCCCCCUUGCCCCCUCCUUACAUGGGUGGAGUGGUUUCACCCUUUCCCCCUCCUCUUCCCCCCCUCCCCCAGCUCUCAGACGUAGCUGAGCAUGCAUCCAUACCAUAAUCACGUGCUGAACACGCAUACUGGGUGAGACAGGAUUGGAUAUUAGAUUGUGAGCUCACCCUGUGCAUGAGGGGACUGCCCCCUCAAAAAUUCCAUAAGAACCCAACUCAUGAACUCAACAGUGCACUACUCAUCUCUUGCAUGGGGUCUCCCAUACUCAUGAGAAUGAAAUAAAUCUGUCUCUGCUUGA